rnacentral:rRNA from 1 species
GAUGAACGCUAGCUACAGGCUUAACACACGCAAGUCGAGGGGAAACGAUAGAGAAAGCUUGCUUUUUCUAGGCGUCGACCGGCGCACGGGUGAGUAACGCGUAUCCAACCUGCCCACCACUUGGGGAUAACCUUGCGAAAGUAAGACUAAUACCCAAUGACGUCCAUAGAAGACAUCUGAAAUGGAUUAAAGAUUUAUCGGUGAUGGAUGGGGAUGCGUCUGAUUAGCUUGUUGGCGGGGUAACGGCCCACCAAGGCGACGAUCAGUAGGGGUUCUGAGAGGAAGGUCCCCCACAUUGGAACUGAGACACGGUCCAAACUCCUACGGGAGGCAGCAGUGAGGAAUAUUGGUCAAUGGGCGAGAGCCUGAACCAGCCAAGUAGCGUGCAGGAUGACGGCCCCAUGGGUUGUAAACUGCUUUUAUAAGGGAAUAAAGUGGGAGUCGUGACUCCUUUUGCAUGUACCUUAUGAAUAAGGACCGGCUAAUUCCGUGCCAGCCGCCGCCGUAAUAC